rnacentral:rRNA from 1 species
AAGUGGAUCAGUCCAAUAACUUAUUGAAGCGAGUAGAUAGUGGAAGAUAGGUGCCCACACAUCUAAGACUAAAUGUUAGCCCCAUACCGAAAGAGAAAGUACUGUAAAGGAAAGUUGAAAGAGAUUUGAAAAGAUCUUGAAAUGAGUCCCUUAAAGCAGUUGUGAUACAACGUACCUUUUGUAUAAUGGGUUUACAAGAUAAGGUUUGGCAGACUUAAGUUAAACUCGGUUUAAAGAACGAAGGUGAAGAGAAAUCAAGGGGGAAACCCCUUCAGUCAAACUCCCCGAAACCAAGUGAUCUAACCAUGAACAGUUUAAAGGAACGAACCGGUGGUUGUAGCAAAACCCUCGGAUGAUUUGUGGUUAGGGGUGAAAGACCAAUCGAACUUGGAGAUAGCUGGUUUUCUGCGAAAACUAUUUAAGUAGUGCGCCCACAAACAGGGCCCUUAUCAGGAUUUAACCGAGAUAUGGGGGAUUGUUUUUUCAUGGUAAAGUUCGAUCGCUCAAAACUGAGGGAUUAACUAUGAAUGUAAAAGAAUCGAAGUGGGCAGACAGACAGUAGGCGAUAAGGUCAAUUGUCAAAAGGGCAAGCCCUAAUCAGAAGUUAAAGUCAUGAAUCAGUUUGGGAUCUAAAAGGAUUAAAAUAGUCAAGUGAAAAAGAGAUAUUGUAUUUAGACAGUGAGGAAGUAGGCUUGGAGACAGCCACCUUUAAAAGAGAACGUAGCAGUUCACUCAAAAAGUUCUCCUAUCUCUACAAUUAGGGUGGCUAAAGCUGAACUGAAACUCUGAGGGCAAAAUACGCUUGGUAGCAGAACGUACUGUAAAUGGUUCAGUGAGAACCCAAAGCAUCAGAGAUGAUAAUGUGAACAUGAGUAAGAAGUCGUCGGAUCACUUCCCCAGGUUUCCAAGCUCGAGGGCUUGGGUUAUACAGUCCCUAAGAUGGUAGCCCAAAGGCUGCGUCGAUGGGCUAUAGUAAUAGACGCACUUGGUGCCAGGAAAGAAUUACUAUAUAUUCGACCCUCGAUGAGAGUUAUAAAAGGUUGCACUGUACUAACCUAACACAAGUGGGGAAUAGUGAGGGGAAAAGUUUUCUUAAGGAACUCGGCAAAACUUUGGACUCCCACUAGGGGGUUAUUACAACACAGGGCUUCGACUGUUUACCAAAAACAUAGCUCUCUGCCAAUAUGCAAAUAGAAGUAUGGAGGGUGAGGCCUGCCCAAUGGUUGUAUCUAAAAGAGUCGGUAGGAGCCGACUUCAUAAAGACAAUUGAAUGGCCGCGGUAACACUGACUGUGAUAAUGUAGCGUAAUCAAUAGCCAAUUAAUUGUUGGCCGGUAUGAAUGGCGUCACGAAGGCCCCACUGUCUUAAAAAGAUUCCCAGUGAAAUUGAAUUCGUAGUGAAGAUGCUACGUCCAAAUUGUUAGACGAAGAGACCCCAUUGAGCUUUACUGGAAACUUAUGCGGCUAAAAUCGGUUCUUGCUCACAGAGAUAUAUUAAGAGCAAGGAGUUAAAACUUAAAUAAAUAGCUAAGAUUAUGUGGUGUGAGACAUCUUGUUCUUCGACUCCUCUCAUAGAGAGGGUCUUGAUCUAAGAUUUAACCGUUGGCGAAGGGGGCCCACUCUUUUAUUUUAAGAGAGCUAACUCUCCUUCAUGGUGAGAGAAACGACGUAAGUGGGACAGUUUGGUUGGGGCGACCGCCUUUUAAAAAGUAACGAAGGUGAGCUUAAGGUGCAUAAUUAAUAGCAGACGCCUGACUGCAAGGGGUACGUCCCGAGCAGACACCGGAAGACCUAGGCAUAAGCUAUUAGGGCGUGAAAGGUGGGCUAUAAUGACCCGUUAGUUUAGAGUGGAAUAGUUAACGAUCAACGGAUAAAAGCUACCAUGGGGAUAACAGCGUAAUAUCGUUAGAGAGCUUUCAUCGACGACGAUGUUUGCGACCUCGAUGUUGAAUUGCAGCAUCCUGGGGUGCAGUCGCUCCCAAGGGUUGGUCUGUUCGUCCAUUAAGGCUGUACAUGAUUUGAGUUAAAAGCGUGGUAACACAGCUUGGUUUCUAUCUACAAUUUGAAGAAACAUCGAUAUAAUUAUUUUCUAGUACGAAAGGACCGAAACAUUAAUGAUCCUCUUAUUCUCUAUAAGUUACGAUCAAUAUAGAUCCUUUAGGAUCAGGCCCGCAUUGGAAGGUUGG